rnacentral:rRNA from 1 species
CCUGAAAAUUUGGAACAGGUGG